rnacentral:lncRNA from 1 species
AUUUUCCCUCGUUAUGGCACCUGUCCUCAGCCAAAAAAUACAUUUUGAUGGCAGUUGGAGAGAAGACAAUGAUACGAGGAAAUUGCAACUAUCUGAGCAAUAUAAAGAAAUCCUGAAAAGAAUGACUCGAAAACCUGAGUCACGCCAAUUCUUUGGUCUUAUGGGGAUAAGAGGCUCUGGUAGGCUAACUACUUUCUAGUAAUAAUUCAAUAUUUUUAAUAUAUUCUAUUUCUAUAAAAGCUCAUCUGUAUUUUUGCUUUUUCCCUUCCACUCUUUACAAAGUCCCAGGUAACAAGACCAGGUAAGUGUUGCCCGCAUUACACUGUUGGUACUGACCAUUUCAACUCAAUUUUACUGAGGCUACUAU